rfam:Triticum aestivum genome assembly, contig: Triticum_aestivum_CS42_TGACv1_scaffold_211346_3AS
GGAAUGUUACCUCCGUCCCAAAAAGCCUGUCUUAGAUUUGUCUAAUACACAUGUAUCUAACACUAAAACGUAUCUAGAUACAUCUGUAUCUAGACAAAUUUAAGAAAAGCUUUUUGGGAGGGAGGUAAUAGUAA